GGCUGCCGAAGGAACGCCCGCGCAAUACCCUCUCUCGAACCCUUCGUCACGUUUCCUUACCGAACUGGGUAACCUCAUCAGUUUCAAAUGAAGGGCAUCAACGGGGCCUUUGAAAGAGAAGUUCUCGUCUUCCAUGCGGGGCCCGCCAAAGUAUGCGGCAACAUCAAAACCGUCAAGUCAUCCGAAGUCUUAAAAGGCUCGGGUGGAUUUUAGACAAACUCAAUUUGCUCAAGAUGGCUCAAAGAGUGAUUACACAACAUUGUUUUCGUCUUCUUCUUCUUCAUCAUCAUCACCAAAGGGUCUUCAGACACACAGAUGCGCAACCGCAUACUUGCCUGCAAUCAAAGCCCGUGUUUUGACUUAUGGAAAAAACGGGUGCUUGGUUUUUUGUUUUUUUUUCCUUUCAUAAAACUGAGUAAUGGGAAAGACAGCGACAGGGAAAUAUUUUUCGAAGAUUGAGUUGCUGCCCUGUCUCCCAAUGUAGACAUGUAGAGGCAACACACACACACAUACACACACACACAGGGAGAAAAAGAGGGGGAGAGAGAGAGAGAAAGAAAGAGAGAUAAAGAGUAAU